CUAGCUGGUCUUAGCGAAUCCCCUCGCAAAGCAUAGGAUUGCUAAGACCGUCAUUCGUGUUCAUCUGUUUCGCUUCAUCAAGUGCCUUCUCGAUCUGACUACACAGCUCAGCUUUACGUUUCACAAUCUGCGUAUCUUCCAAAGGCACUACCUUAGGCUCAUCGACCUCGAUUCCAGACGGCAAGGCCUUCGGGUGCGACUUUACCUCUGCUCUGGAUCUAAUCCAACGCCAAGUUUUGAUACGGCAACAACAAGAUCUCCAUGACUUGAAGAAUGAAGCUAACUCAGUGAAUCUAAAAUGGAGCUGACGAAGAAGAUCGUACCUUUGAAGCGGAACACAGCGUCUCCGAGUGUUGUUAAAAAGGUGAGACUUUAAGAUUUCUUACAAAAUCAUUAAUUCUCAAUGAUUAAUUGGGGUUUUAAAUCCUUUUAAACUGUUUUGAUUAGUUUUAGUUUGUAGGUUUCCUAUUCUUUGAUCGAUGGUGUUUUUACUUUUCUGGGUUUUCAAUUUUGUGCAGUGGCUAUUCAUCUGAGAAUUUUGCAGUGGCUAUUCGUCUAGGUUUUCAAUUGUGUGCAGUGGCUAUUCAAUUUUGUGGGUUUCCUGUUCUACUGGUGAUGCUCCUGUACUCAAGCAAGCCAAAUUCAAGUUUUGCCUUUUGUGGUUACAUACUUACAGUAUGUAUAUGAAUCUUGCAAUUAUCUUGCUACUUAGAAUUCGAACAAGUUCAGAAUUUUGAUUGUGAUUGAUGGAGCUGUGUGAAAAUAUUAGCCCUCUAAAAUUUGAUUAUAUUCUUCAGAUGGUUGGCUGUUCAUUCUGCAGAUCCUAAAAAAAAAAUUUGUUUAUUUGUAGUUUUGAAUCAUUGGGGGUAAUUGGAAUUAAUUUGGAAGGCUAGGAAUUGAACUAGAACUAGAAGUUAGUCUAGGUUCUUAGUCCGACACUAUACCAAACGCUUCACUAAGUUAAUCCAGUUUAGUCUAGUCUAAGCUAGUCAAGCUUAGUCCCUAAAGCUAGUCUAGUCCGAGAUAGUCUGAUGCAACAAAUGCACCCUAGUAAUACUAGUGCAUUGUUAUAGUACUUGUGAGCCAUUUAUCCAAGUUUCCUUGAACGUGCUUGUUACUUGUUUGAUUUUCAUAUAAAUAGCAUCAGCAUAGCACACAUGACUAAGAUGACUUGUCGUGAGGGUGGUGGGUUAGGAUUAGCUAAUUUGGUAAUCCAAUUUCCGGUUGCCUAAUUGACUAAUAGUCUAAUAAUUAAAGCCAAUGUCGUAAGUGCGUUCAUUGUUACUUAUUAGGAUGGGUUAUUUUGGUUAUGUUAAAAAAUAGUCGGUCAAUUUAAUAAAUAGUGUAGUACUUGUGUCAGUUUAAUAAAUAGUGUAGUACCCAUGUUAGUUUCAUAAAUAGUCAAUCAAUUUAAUAAAAAUAGUGAGUGCCUGUGUCAGUUUCAUAAAUAGUGUAGUACAUGUGUCAGUUUCAUAAAUUGUCAAUCAGUUUAAUAAAUAAUGUUGUACCCAUAUCAAUUUCAUAUAUAGUUAGUAAAUUUAAUAAAUAGUGUAGUACCCGUGUCAAUUUCAUAAAUAGUGAGCUUAAUAAAUAGUGUAGUACAUGUGUCAGUUUCAUAAAUAGCCCGUCAGUUAAAUAAAUAGUGUAGUACCCGUAUCAGUUUCAUAAAUAGUGAGUUUAACAAAUAGUGUAAUACCCACAUUAGUUUCAUAAAUAGUCAGUUUAAGAAAUAGUGAUAGUACUAGUACUCAGUUUAAGAAAUAGUGAUGGUAUCUGUGUUUAGUUUCAAAAAAUAGUAAGUAUUCAGUUUAAGAAAUAUUGUAGUAUCCGUAUUUAAUUUCAGAAAUAAUCUGUUUAAGAAAUAGUGUAGUAUACAUUUAUAGUUUCAGAAAUAGUACCUGUGUCCAGUUUUAGACAUAACCAUUUAAAAAAAAAAGAGUUUAAUGAAAUGGGUUUGAACUAAUUUUAUUUUAACCAAAAAAUAUCCUAUAAUCUUUUUUAAUAUAAAAGGCUUGAAAUUUAAUAAACAGGACAAAAUACAAUAUAACAAAAACAAAAACUAAAGCCUUAUAGGUAGGAAGUAAGCCCACAUGCAAAACUAAUUUUUUUUAUUCCAACCAGUACCCCUGACGGAAACUCCACUCCGUCAGUCCAAUUCCAUUAGAAAAUUGAAUUUUCCCAGGUUUGAACUGAGUGAAAGGUUUGUCGGGCCACACUCCCAUUAAAUAUUAAUUUGGUUGUGUCUGUAUCUGCAUGUCCAUGAGUUUUAGCCUCCAACUCUCUUUUCCCAGUAUUUUAGCCAAUAAGAUGUGUCACAUGCCCCACCGCCUUCUCUAAUCUUAAAAAUUAGGGUUCUUUAGAAAAUGGCCCUUGAAACUCUUAUUUUCCAAACAAAAACCCACAUAAUAUUAAAUAUCCAAAUAAAACCCAAAUUUCAAAUAGAGUACCAUGUAGACAAAUAUGUAACCAAUUAUUAUCACAUAUUUACAACUUAUGCCACAAAACUCUAAUUAUGUCAAUAAAUAUUAUUACUUACCCUAAUUAUGAUUAGUAAUUAACCCCAUAUGGAAAAUUUCACCUUUCUUGUAUGGUAAAUAUUAGGAAUAUAUAUAUAUAUAUAUUAAUUUAACCAUGUUCAUAAACAAUUAUGGGCACAUUUUUCAUAUGAAAAAAAAAAUCCUUGUACAAUCAGUUAUUUUGCAUCAAAUAAUAUUGUUGGAUAAAAAACAAUAAAGAACCAAUUAAUAUUCUUUUAUGUUGUAGGUAAAUUAUUUUACCUAGAUUAUUACAUACGUUAGGCAUUUUUUGUUUGUUAUCAUAUAUGCUUGUUAAAAAUAAUUUAUCUAUAUUUGUAUGUAAAAUAUAAGUAAAUUAAUUUUGAAUCAAAUAACAUUUAUUUUGUAGGUAAAUUAAAAUAGUAGUUCCAUUAUUUUGGUAAAGUUAAACAGUGCCUAAAUUAUUUCGUAAGAAUUAAACCAAGACAAAUUAUCUCUACUAAAAUAAAACAGUAGAUAUUCGACAAAAAAUAAAUAAAAAAUAAAACUGUAGAUACAUUAUUUUCUUAUAAGAUUAAACAAUAGGUAAAUUAUAUUGUAGGUACAUUAUGUUUGUAAUAUAAAAAAAAGAAAUUGAAAUUUAUAAACAAAAAGUAGUAGAUAUAUUAUUUUUUAAUCAAAUUUCCUUUAUUUGUAG
rnacentral:lncRNA from 1 species